rnacentral:rRNA from 1 species
AUUGAACGCUGGCGGAAUGCUUUACACAUGCAAGUCGAACGGCAGCACGGGGGCAACCCUGGUGACGAGUGGCGAACGGGUGAGUAAUGCAUCGGAACGUGCCCAGUCGUGGGGGAUAACGCAGCGAAAGCUGUGCUAAUACCGCAUACGAUCUAUGGAUGAAAGCGGGGGACCGUAAGGCCUCGCGCGAUUGGAGCGGCCGAUGUCAGAUUAGGUAGUUGGUGGGGUAAAGGCCCACCAAGCCAACGAUCUGUAGCUGGUCUGAGAGGACGACCAGCCACACUGGGACUGAGACACGGCCCAGACUCCUACGGGAGGCAGCAGUGGGGAAUUUUGGACAAUGGGCGCAAGCCUGAUCCAGCAAUGCCGCGUGCAGGAAGAAGGCCUUCGGGUUGUAAACUGCUUUUGUACGGAACGAAACGGUCCGGGCUAAUACCCUGGGCUAAUGACGGUACCGUAAGAAUAAGCACCGGCUAACUACGUGCCAGCCGCCGCCGUAA